UACGUAGGGUGCGAGCGUUAAUCGGAAUUACUGGGCGUAAAGCGUGCGCAGGCGGUUUUGUAAGCCAGAUGUGAAAUCCCCGGGCUCAACCUGGGAAUGGCAUUUGGGACUGCAAGGCUUGAGUGCGGCAGAGGAGACUGGAAUUCCUGGUGUAGCAGUGAAAUGCGUAGAUAUCAGGAGGAAUACCGAUGGCGAAGGCAGGUCUCUGGGCUGACACUGACGCUGAGAAGCGAAAGCAUGGGGAGCGAACAGG
rnacentral:rRNA from 1 species